UGAUUUCUCUUAUUCUAAUGCUUGGGACACUCUGUCUGCUUGCUCAAGUGUCUCAUGAAGAGGUUCAGUCUCCUGAGUCUCUGUCUGUUAAAGCAGGAGAAUCUGUCUCUAUCAGCUGCACUGGGACCAGCGGAGUUGGUGAUGACAUGAGCUGGUAUCUGCUGAAACCUGGAGAAGCUCCUAAACUCCUCAUCCAUGAUGCCAGUCAACUUGUAUCUGGAAUCUCAGAUCAGUUCAGUGGAACUUAAUCUGGAUACGUAUUUACACUGAACAUACGUGGAGUCCAGCCUGAGGAUGCAGGAGUUUAUUACUGUAUGGGGGUUUAUAGUAGUGGAGUGUGCACACAGUGAAACAACAUCGAACAAAAACCUCCCUCAGUCUGACAGCUAAGAGAAUAUGAGAACAAUUUCAGCCAAGUUUCCCUGUAUAAUUAAACAAC